rnacentral:rRNA from 1 species
CAAUGAUUUUAUUAAAUGGCUGCGGUAUUUUGACCGUGCAAAGGUAGCAUAAUCAUUAGUUCAUUUAUUGUGAACUGGAAUGAAUGGUUUGACGAAACAUUAACUGUCUCAUUUAUUUAUAUAUAAUUUAAAUUUUGAGUUAAAAUGCUUAAAUUUUUUUAUGGGACGAGAAGACCCUAUAGAUCUUUAUUUUAGUUUAUUUAUAUUAUUUUUGUUUAUUAUGUGUAUAUAUAUAUUAUUGUUUUAUUGGGGUGAUAUUGAGAUAUAAAUAACUCUUGAUUUUUUUAUUCAUUGAUUUUUGUAUAAGUGAUUUUUUAUUAUUGUUAAAAGAUAUAGAUACCUUAGGGAUAACAGCGUAAUUCUUUUUGAGAGUUCAUAUCGACAAUAGAGAUUGCGACCUCGAUGUUGGAUUAAGAUAUUUAUUAGGUGUAGGAGCUUAAUUAAUGAGUCUGUUCGACUUUUAAAAUCUUACAUGAUCUGAGUU